rnacentral:rRNA from 1 species
GUGGGGAAUCUUGCACAAUGGGGGCAACCCUGAUGCAGCGACGCCGCGUGAGCGAUGAAGCCCUUCGGGGCGUAAAGCUUUUUCGACCGGAACGAUAAUGACGGUACCGGGAGAAGAAGCUGCGGCUAACUACGUGCCAGCAGCCGCGGUAAUACGUAGGCAGCAAGCGUUGUUCGGAGUUACUGGGCGUAAAGAGUGCGUAGGCGGUUUUCUAAGUUCGGUGUGAAAUCUCCCGGCUUAACUGGGAGGGUGCGCCGAAGACUGGGAAGCUGGAGUGUGGGAAAGGCAGGCGGAAUUCCAGGUGUAGCGGUGAAAUGCGUAGAUAUCAGGAGGAACACCGGCGGUGUAGACGGCUUGCUAGACCAUAACUGACGCUGAGGCACGAAAGCGUGGGUAGCAAACA